UACGUAGGUGGCUAGCGUUGUCCGGCAUCACGGGGCGUAAAGAGCGCGUAGGCGGCUUGCCAGGUCCGAUGUGAAAACCCGGGGCUUAACUCCGGGCCUGCAUCGGAAACCGGCUUGCUAGAGUCUGGGAGAGGAGAGUGGAAUUCCUGGUGUAGCGGUGAAAUGCGUAGAUAUCAGGAGGAACACCGGUAGCGAAGGCGACUCUCUGGAACAGUACUGACGCUGAGGCGCGAAAGCUAGGGGAGCGAACAGG
rnacentral:rRNA from 1 species